GAUGAACGCUGGCGGCGUGCCUAAUACAUGCAAGUCGAACGAAACUUCUUUAUCACCGGGUGCUUGCACUCACCGAUAAAGGGUUGAGUGGCGAACGGGUGGGUAACACGUUGGCAACCUGCCCUAAAGAGGGGGAUAACACUUGGAAACAGGUGCUAAUACCGAAUAACCAUCGUUACUGCAUGGAAACAAUGUAAAAGGUGGCGAUACUACCGCUCUUGGAUGGUCCCCCGGCGAAUUAGCAAGAUGGGGGGGUAAAGGCAUACCAAGGUAAUGAUGCUAAGCCGAAGUGAGAGGGAGGUCGGCUACAUUGGGAGUGAGAAAGAGCCCAAACACCUACGGGAGGACGCAGUAGGGAAUCUUACACGAGGGGCGAAAGCGUGAUGGAGCAACGCCGCGUGGGUGAAGAAGGUGUUCGGAUCGUAAAACCCUGUUGUUCGAGAAGAAAGUGAGUGAGAGUACCUGUUCACGUUUUGACGGUAUCUAAACAGAAAGCCACGGCUAACUACGUG
rnacentral:rRNA from 1 species